CCUGCACAAGUUGCGGCUGGGACGGGCACGGAGGCAGACACCACCCGAAGCCCUCGGCUCCCGCUUCCCCUGCAAGCUCUGCGGAUCUUCCCCAAGAUCAAGAGCCGCAACGCCCACAUGAAGAUCCACCGGCAGCAGGAGGGUUGGGGGGAACCCCCACUCCUGCUCCC